GACGUAGGGCGCAAGCGUUGUCCGGAUUUAUUGGGCGUAAAGAGCUCGUAGGCGGCUUGCCACGUCUGCCGUGAAAACCAGCAGCUUAACUGUUGGCUUGCGGUUGAUACGGGUUGGCUGGAGUUCGGUAGGGGAGACUGGAAUUCCUGGUGUAGCGGUGAAAUGCGUUGAUAUUUACAGGAACUCCGGUGGCGAAAGCGGCGUGCUGGACCUUUUCUGACGCUGAGGCACGAAAGCUAGGGUAGCGAACGGG
rnacentral:rRNA from 1 species